GAGAGAGAGAGAGAGAGAGAGAGAGAGAGAGAGAUCAAUGGUGAAGGCAUCUGAGUUUUCUGAAGGCCAAGAUGAAGAGGAAGAUGAUGCUAGAACUGUAGAGUCUGAUCCAGGCUUCAAAAUCGCAUCGUUGAUUUACCAGAGAAUUAUAUACAUGUAUCCAAUUCUACACAAAUUGGAAGCUAACAAUAAUGGUAAUGGGACCAUGAAGCCUCUAAACAUUUCCAAAUCUUCAAUCUGCUCAUUUAACAGAAACCCUGCUGAUUUUAACGGGUACAUGAUUAGAGGUGAAGACCUAAAAUUUGGGAAGCGGAUUCCUUUUUCAAGGAGGCAUGGCUUAGUUAAAGUGGAUCAGCACAAGUGGCAGAGAAAUAUGAAAGCCCUCUACCAAAAAUGAAACGCGCACCACAUUGAAUUUGAUGAGGGAAAACUUUUCCAAGAAAAGGCACGUGAAGUGGAUGAAGAGUCAAAUGAAAUGAUUCUUAGAACAAGGA